GACAGAUCCGAAGGGUCCCUGGGGAUGGAGCGAUGACAGCCCAGGGUGCUCCCCAUGGCCAGCCAAGAAAGAGCAGGGGCCUGGGAAGUCCUGGCCACUGUGGG